GGGGCUUCGCAGACAGCGAGCGGAGGGGCUUCCCCGUAAGGGGCGGGCUUCGAGGGUCGCGUUUGGAAGGCCUUACGAGGGGCCCGGUGGAAGGGCGGUGAAGGGCGGGCUAAUCGGGAGGCGCUCAGGCCUUGAAGGCCUGCGGGAGGUCGAAAUGGUCCUGGGGAGGUCGAGGCUGAGGUCUCACUAGUACCGCGGGCCUGGAAGCGGCGGGAGUUGAAAGAGCCUGCGGUGACCUGUAUGGAAGCCCUCGAAGCCAGGCCGAGGUCCUACAAGACGGAGCCCGAGAGGUGCCGGUCUUAAGCUGACUGUGACCACGUUAAAUUAAGGAUUCAUAGGAAGGAAGGCGGUGUCGAAGCCGGGAGUUGCGCGGAGAAGGAGCGCUCAACACAGCCUCAGCGGUUCACUACGCAAGCGCGACCAACGGCUUCCCGGGAAGCAGCCAAAAACGCUUGGCCGCCUACCACGUCCGCGCGCUGGAGGGCGGAAGUGGAUGAAGAGACUGAGGCAUAGAGAAGUUAUUAGUAACUUGCCAAAAAUUACACAGCCAUUGAGUAAAACAGCUUGGAUUUUGAGUCCAACCAGUGUGGCUCUAGAGUCUGUGCUAUACUGGUAUUCCAGCUUCCAGGUCUUGGGGUACCCAGCCAAGCACUGAACUGUCCAUCCCUCACCCCCUCAGGGAGCCCGAAUCACCAACAGCUAUCCCAAACCCAGCUCUGGCCCAUCAGAUACCCAGACAUCCCAUCAUCCAGUUCCCUUCCCUGGAUCCAGGAUUUGAAUUCCCCUGCUCUCAAUUUAUCAGAGUUCUGGGCACCUGGUCCCCUCCCAAGAGACUCGUGUACAUAGUAGUCAUCACCCCGACCCUAAUUUAAUAUCCCCAAAAUUAAUAAUAAUAGUUAACAGUAAACCUUUGGGG
rnacentral:lncRNA from 10 species